rnacentral:rRNA from 1 species
UACGUAGGGGGCAAGCGUUGUCCGUAUUUAUUGGGCGUAAAGAGCGUGUAGGCGGCCAGAUAGGUCCGUUGUGAAAACUCGAGGCUCAACCUCGAGACGCCGAUGGAAACCAUUUGGCUAGAGUCCGGAAGAGGAGAGUGGAAUUCCUGGUGUAGCGGUGAAAUGCGCAGAUAUCAGGAAGAACACCCGUGGCUAAGGCGGCUCUCUAGUACGGUACUGACGCUGAGACGCGAAAGCGUGGGGAGCGAACAGG